GCAAAGGUAGCAUAAUCACUUGCCUCUUAAUUGGAGGCUGGAAUGAAUGGACUCUCUCUACCCAACUUUACCAAGCUUGCCCCCGAAAACUUUCCUUCAGGUGAAGAGACCUGAAUAUUAAAGGAGGACCAAAAGACCCUAUAGAGCUUCAUAGCUAAAGCAACAACCUGCCCACCCUAUUUCAUUGGGGCGAUGAUGGACAUUCGUCCUUUCCUUAUUUGGGUAACAUCCCAAUUACCUAUCCUUUUUAAAGAAUAAGAAAAAGCUACCUUAGGGAUAACAGUUUUAUUCUUCUUUAUAGUUCACAUACGCAGAAGAGAUUGGCAC
rnacentral:rRNA from 1 species